GCCUGUGGCCGCCGCCGGCGUACGCGCCGUUACCUCCCGCGCAGGCUCUAUCGGGUAGAGACGCAAGGCAGGCACUGCCAAGGUGGCCCGGCGGUGCGAGGGUCACCUUUCAGCCCUUACCUCUACCCGCUGAAAUGGAGUAGGGCGGUGAGCGCCGAUCUGCUGGAGAAUCUCGUUAUCCCAUCGGCGCUCUGCCUGCUCCUGGCCUCCAAGCCUCUGAAGUCCCCCGGAUUUCAGCUGCCGGCUACCCCCGAGCCCGUGGUGCCCACGAGUGGCGACUUUACGUCAGCGGCCCUGGGCUGAGAUUUGAGAACGCGACCAAGUGGAGAAUGUUGGAGCCAGAUUUCAAAAUCCUUGACUUCCUUAUUCUUGCUACUUGAUGUAAAUGAGAUACGGCAAAGUCACAGUACCUGUUUUUAUGUUUUUGCCGGAUUCAUAGGGGCUUCUCCGGUGAAGAUGGGCCGAAGUAAAGCUUGUGUUGCUUCUGACGUUCUUACUCAUCCUGUAGCUGCAGCAACUGUGGUCCUUGCAACCUCAUAAAAAUGUUGCCAGCAUUGUUUUGAUAGUGCUGCUUAAUUCUUGGAAGGCCUCUUUGCUUUCUUCCCUGAGGUUCUUCGGACUUCACAGAUUCCAGCAGUAGCUCUCUCAGCUCCUGCCCUGCACAGUUUUGAAGUGCUGGUGAAGAAAAUCUUCCCCUCAUUCCUGGUGGUCAGAGCUGGAUAAAAUAUCCACCCUUCAACCAAUAUCAGACAAGUGACACAGAUCAGAGUAAACAGAACAUACUGACAGACUGGAUGUGGAGCAUGAGAAGAAAUGGAGAGGACCAAGGAUGACCUGGAUUUCUGGCUUACGCAACUGCGUGGAAGUUGCUGCAGCUCCUGGUGGUGUAACAUCGUUCCAGGCAGGAAGAAAGUAAAUGGUGAGCAACCCCCUGGACCUGAGUGUGUUAGUGCCAACUAUUGGAGGGUGAGGUCCGUUUCUUUCUGGAAGCAAGGAGAAGAGGGAGAAGGAAAAGAAGGAAGAAGGGAGAAAGAAGAAUGAUGAGAAGCCAACCAGCCAGGAAAGCUAGAGGUGAUGUCAUUGAACUCUUAAGUGCAAGAUGAAACAAGUCUUCCUAGCGUUCCAAGUAGGUGCCAUGAUGGAGAUUAACCACGUCAUGCUGACUUCUAAAAGAUCCGGUUUAUCCUGGACCCCAUUACCUGCUUCUGCUUAAGCUUUUGUUGAGGAAAUUUUUCUGCAGCUGAAAUGAAGUUUGAAGGCUUUGAAGAACAGUGAUUUCCAUGUGACCUAGUGUAGCUUGGAAGAAUGAAGUUCUGAUUUGUAAGUAGAAUCAUUUCCUAUUGUGGUAGACUAGUAAACUUGGAAUAACAACAAGUAUAUGUUAAAUAAAUAUAAUUAAACAAUAGUAAACAUUAAAUUUAGAGACUAUUUUUAAUGCUCCAUUUGUAUGAACUCACUUAAUCCUCACAAUAGCUAUGAGGUUGUUUCAUUCAUGAGGAAACUACAGCACAGAGAGGUUGGUAACUUGCCUGAAUUCACAGAGUUAAUAAGGAUUGGUACCAGGACUGAUGUUCAGGUCAUCUUGUUCCUAGCCUGUUCCCUAAUCACAGCCAAUUA